CUUCAAGAAAGCCCAUCUCAGCUCUGUCACCACAGACAGACAUGGUGGAUGGCGACCAUAAAUCUUCCAGCUCACAGAAGGCUUACAAGAUUGUGCUUGCUGGGGAUGCUGCAGUGGGGAAGUCUAGUUUCCUCAUGAGGCUCUGCAAGAAUGAAUUUCGAGGAAAUACAAGUGCCACCCUGGGGAAGUGAAAACAAGGAUCGAUGAAGAUGACAGCAAAUCCAUCACCAAACUGACCGGGACCAGUUCCAGAAAGUCAGCGCAGACGAAGAACUGUUGCAGUAGUUAAAUCCCAAACAUCCAUGGCCUGUCAGGUCUUCAGGCCCAGAGUCCUGGGUGUCUGUGACGAGUUUGCUUCUCACAGAGGCGUGCGUCCUCCAGACAUGACCAGGUGGAAGCUGACAGUGUGGGCCUCGGAACUGUGCUCUGAGAUCCUUCUGGAGCCCUGGCUCUUUGCUAGGUUUCAGUGAAUGAUUUGGGCCCCAUGGUUGAAGGUACUUGACUUGUCCUUACAGAGUCUCAAAAGAGGACAUGUAAAAAAAUGGUUAAAAAAAAUCAUAUGCUCAGAUCAAAGCUGUAGAAGAAACUUCCUGAUGUAGACCUACGUGGUAGCUGACUUUGUAGAUAACCUAAAACAACAUUUUUUUUUAAAAUAUCUGUUACUAGAAUACUAGUAAAAGGGGAUUAUCAUCCUAGCUUUGCUGUCUGUGGUCUCAGAUGUGUCAGCAGCCCACGAUAAAUCUGUUUCCUCACCUGCAA